UACUAUAUAAAAGAGACUAAAUUGGAGUUCUCUAAACACUGCCAUAUGGUCACAAAUAUUCCUAGCCAAUUAAAUUGCCAUAUCAUCAAGGACUCGUCUUGAAAAAAAAAUUAAGUUAGCUGCCCAGCCCAUUUAAACCAUUACAUAGCCCAAUAUGUUAAUAUGAUAAGAGACGGUUCAGGUUAUAUCCCUUUAUCGAUCCCGUGUCUCUGAAAAUCACUCAUCCUCCCUAACCCUAAGCGCCGUCUCAGACCCUUUGUCGAUUCUCUUCCUCUCCCCCACCUUCCUAAACGCUCCCAGUUAAUCUCCUUUAUCAAGCGUACAAAGAAUCUUCGUAACUGUCUUCAGAUGCUGCUGUUGCGCAAUGCCUUCGACGCUCUUCGCCUCGGUCGAUCGUCGCAGUUCGUUAUCGCUCGGCUUCUCCGUUUUUGGGACUCGGAAAGUAUGAAGAACAUGGUGAAUUCAUAGAAUCACUCUACUUAUCCUUGAUGAGAAGGACCUCCUAUAGUCUCAAAGAGACUGAUGUGGCUGUAUUGGAAUCUUGACCCAUAAGGUGAUGAUUACUCUUUACGCACAGAUGGUGAUACCAUGCAUAGUUUGAUCAAACUCCGUUUAGGUUUUCUUUAGGGAAACAAAUGAAGGUAAAAAGCCAAGAGCAGAAACUAGCUGUGCCGGAACCAGCAUUGAUCAAGGACCUUGAUUCAAGGAAGAGAGAAUAUCCUUUUUGAGCAAUGGCUCGAUUGAUCAAGGAGAAACAGUGUUUUUCUAAAGCAAUGGGUACUGAAAACCUCCCCUUAAGUUGCAUUAAAGAAGCCAUCAUCAUUGAUGAAAGCAGGAAAGAGCCUGCUAUAUUGAUGACGAUUGUGAUCACAGAGAAAGACACAAAGAAAUUUGAGCUUGGAUUCAGCAGGUGGUGGUAGCCAACAAGAUGAUACAAUCGUUGAGAGAUGUAACCCAUUGAGAGGAGAGAUAUAAGAAGCUCAUGAUUUGGUUUAAAAGAUGAGAUAUAAGAAGCUCGUGAUUUGGUUUAACAGAUGACAUAUAUAAGAGUUGAGGUUAAGUAGAAAUGUUAACCUUUGUGUUACGGUCAUUUGUUUGUCUUUUUCUGUCUCUGCAAUACAAACAGCUUUUACUCUGUUGUUUUUCCUUUUGGUUUCAGUUUGAAGCAAAAGCUAUGAAUCUGUCAUUUGUGUCAUCUGAGAUUAGACUUUUUGUUUGUAAUUGAUUAUUGUUUCUUUGGCAGCAAACAAAGCCUUGGAUUUUAAA